UAAGAAGAAACUCAGUAGUUAGGGUAUGUGCUUAGCAUGCAUGAGGUCCUGGGUUCAAUCCCCAGCUCUCUGU
rnacentral:tRNA from 1 species